ensembl:misc_RNA Metazoa_SRP Metazoan signal recognition particle RNA
GCUGGGUGUGGUGGUGCACACCUGUAAUCCCAGCUACUUGGGAGGCUGAGGUGGGAGGAUCGCUUGAGUCCAGGAGGUUGAGGCUGCAGUGAGCUAUGAUUGAACCACUGCACUCCAGCCUGGGCAAAGAGUGAAAUCUCAUUCCAA